rnacentral:rRNA from 1 species
GGUUAAGCGACUAAGCGUACACGGUGGAUGCCCUGGCAGUCAGAGGCGAUGAAGGACGUGCUAAUCUGCGAAAAGCGUCGGUAAGGUGAUAUGAACCGUUAUAGCCGGCGAUGUCCGAAUGGGGAAACCCAGUGCAAUUCGUUGCACUAUCGUUAACUGAAUACAUAGGUUAACGAGGCGAACCGGGGGAACUGAAACAUCUAAGUACCCCGAGGAAAAGAAAUCAACCGAGAUUCCCCCAGUAGCGGCGAGCGAACGGGGAGCAGCCCAGAGUCUGAAUCAGCUUGUGUGUUAGUGGAACGGUCUGGAAAGUCCGACGGUACAGGGUGAUAGUCCCGUACACCAAAAUGCACAGGCUGUGAACUCGAAGAGUAGGGCGGGACACGUGGUAUCCUGUCUGAAUAUGGGGGGACCAUCCUCCAAGGCUAAAUACUCCUGACUGACCGAUAGUGAACCAGUACCGUGAGGGAAAGGCGAAAAGAACCCCGGCGAGGGGAGUGAAAAAGAACCUGAAACCGUGUACGUACAAGCAGUGGGAGCACCUUCGGGUGUGACUGCGUACCUUUUGUAUAAUGGGUCAGCGACUUAUAUUCUGUAGCAAGGUUAACCGUAUAGGGGAGCCGCAGGGAAACCGAGUCUUAACUGGGCGUUAAGUUGCAGGGUAUAGACCCGAAACCCGGUGAUCUAGCCAUGGGCAGGUUGAAGGUUGGGUAACACUAACUGGAGGACCGAACCGACUAAUGUUGAAAAAUUAGCGGAUGACUUGUGGCUGGGGGUGAAAGGCCAAUCAAACCGGGAGAUAGCUGGUUCUCCCCGAAAGCUAUUUAGGUAGCGCCUCGUGAAUUCAUCUUCGGGGGUAGAGCACUGUUUCGGCUAGGGGGUCAUCCCGACUUACCAACCCGAUGCAAACUACGAAUACCGAAGAAUGUUAUCACGGGAGACACACGGCGGGUGCUAACGUCCGUCGUGAAGAGGGAAACAACCCAGACCGCCAGCUAAGGUCCCAAAGUCAUGGUUAAGUGGGAAACGAUGUGGGAAGGCACAGACAGCCAGGAUGUUGGCUUAGAAGCAGCCAUCAUUUAAAGAAAGCGUAAUAGCUCACUGGUCGAGUCGGCCUGCGCGGAAGAUGUAACGGGGCUAAACCAUGCACCGAAGCUGCGGCAGCGACACUAUGUGUUGUUGGGUAGGGGAGCGUUCUGUAAGCCUGCGAAGGUG